AAUCGGAAGAACACUUGGCAAGUCUGCCGGUUGGAUACCACAGAUUUCUCAAACACAACGUCAGAGUUCUCUUCUUCUUGAGGACCCAGCUCAUGGAUGGAGAGGCUGUAAUUGUGCUCAUCGAUCAGGGACACAGAAUUGCUGGUAGGAUUGUCAUACUCAUCUCUGGGAACUAUCUGCAGGGUGUGCUGCUGCCCACAGGUCAGCACCAGAGUGGAGAAAUGGCAAACAAUUUUG
rnacentral:lncRNA from 1 species